GACGAACGUUGGCGGCGUGCUUAAUACAUGCCAGUCAACUGAAGCAGUGGUAGCAAUAUCGCUGUGGAGGUGGCGCACGGGUGAGUAACACGUAGGUAAUCUGCCUUCAGGUCUGGCAUAACUCCGGGAAACCGGGGCUAAUAGCAGAUGAUGCAGCGGCUCGACAUCGAGACAGUUGUUAAAGCUAUGGCGCCUGAAGAUGAGCCUGCGUCUGAUUAGCUAGUUGGCGGGGUAACGGCCCACCAAGGCAACGAUCAGUAGCUGGUCUGAGAGGAUGAUCAGCCACACUGGAACUGAGACACGGUCCAGACUCCUACGGGAGGCAGCAGUAAGGAAUAUUGCUCAAUGGGAGAAAUCCUGAAGCAGCAACGCCGCGUGAGGGACGAAGGGCUUUGGCUUGUAAACCUCUGUAGUGAGAGAAAAAAAUCCCAAUCUUUGGGACAUGAUGGUAUCUCAAAAGUAAGCCCCGGCUAACUACGUG
rnacentral:rRNA from 1 species